UAGGGAAUCUUCCGCAAUGGACGCAAGUCUGACGGAGCAACGCCGCGUGAGUGAAGAAGGAUUUCGGUUCGUAAAACUCUGUUAUUAGAGAAGAACAGCGCAUAGAGUAACUGUUAUGCGUGUGACGGUAUCUAACCAGAAAGCCACGGCUAACUACGUGCCAGCAGCCGCGGUAAUACGUAGGUGGCAAGCGUUGUCCGGAUUUAUUGGGCGUAAAGCGAGCGCAGGCGGUCAAUUAAGUCUGAUGUGAAAGCCCCCGGCUCAACCGGGGAGGGUCAUUGGAAACUGGUUGACUUGAGUGCAGAAGAGGAGAGUGGAAUUCCAUGUGUAGCGGUGAAAUGCGUAGAUAUAUGGAGGAACACCAGUGGCGAAGGCGACUCUCUGGUCUGUAACUGACGCUGAGGUUCGAAAGCGUGGGUAGCAAACAGG
rnacentral:rRNA from 1 species